AAUGAAGUGCCUGAUUAAAGGGCUAUUUUGAUAGAAUAAAUAAAGUAAUAAUUUACCUUCAUUA
rnacentral:tRNA from 1 species